rnacentral:rRNA from 1 species
UACGGAGGGUGCAAGCGUUGUUCGGAUUUAUUGGGCGUAAAGCGCGCGCAGGUGGUUCCUUAAGUCUGAUGUGAAAGCCCACGGCUCAACCGUGGAGGGUCAUUGGAAACUGGGGAACUUGAGUGCAGAAGAGGAAAGUGGAAUUCCAAGUGUAGCGGUGAAAUGCGUAGAGAUUUGGAGGAACACCAGUGGCGAAGGCGACUUUCUGGUCUGUAACUGACACUGAGGCGCGAAAGCUAGGGUAGCAAACGGG